GUUGGUGAUUCGACGCGGUGGCAACACCUCUUCCCAUUCCGAACAGAGAAGUUAAGCACCGUAGUGGCGAUGGUACCUGGCGCAAGCCUGGGAGAGUAGCUAGUCGCCAACA
rnacentral:rRNA from 1 species